rnacentral:rRNA from 1 species
CCUACGGGGGGCUGCAGUGAGGAAUAUUGGUCAAUGGACGAGAGUCUGAACCAGCCAAGUAGCGUGAAGGAUGACUGCCCUAUGGGUUGUAAACUUCUUUUAUAUGGGAAUAAAAUGUUCCACGUGUGGGAUUUUGUAUGUACCAUAUGAAUAAGGAUCGGCUAACUCCGUGCCAGCAGCCGCGGUAAUACGGAGGAUCCGAGCGUUAUCCGGAUUUAUUGGGUUUAAAGGGAGCGUAGGUGGAUGGUUAAGUCAGUUGUGAAAGUUUGCGGCUCAACCGUAAAAUUGCAGUUGAAACUGGCAGUCUUGAGUACAGUAGAGGUGGGCGGAAUUCGUGGUGUAGCGGUGAAAUGCGUAGAUAUCACGAAGAACUCCGAUUGCGAAGGCAGUUCACUGGACUGCAACUGACACUGAGGCUCGAAAGUGUGGGUAUCAAACAGGAUUAGAUACCCUUGUAGUC